GAUGAACGCUGGCGGCGUGCCUAAUACAUGCAAGUCGAGCGAACAGACGAGUAGCUUGCUCCUCUGACGUUAGCGGCGGACGGGUGAGUAACACGUGGAUAACCUACCUAUAAGACUGGGAUAACUUCGGGAAACCGGAGCUAAUACCGGAUAAUAUAUUGAACCGCAUGGUUCAAUAGUGAAAGACGGUUUUGCUGUCACUUAUAGAUGGAUCCGCGCCGCAUUAGCUAGUUGGUAAGGUAACGGCUUACCAAGGCGACGAUGCGUAGCCGACCUGAGAGGGUGAACGGCCACACUGGAACUGAGACACGGUCCAGACUCCUACGGGAGGCAGCAGUAGGGAAUCUUCCGCAAUGGGCGAAAGCCUGACGGAGCAACGCCGCGUGAGUGAUGAAGGUCUUCGGAUCGUAAAACUCUGUUAUUAGGGAAGAACAAAUGUGUAAGUAACUAUGCACGUCUUGACGGUACCUAAUCAGAAAGCCACGGCUAACUACGUG
rnacentral:rRNA from 1 species